AAACUCCCAAAAUCAAUACCAACCUUCCUUUUAUGGUCAUAAACAUUGUGUUUAAAUUUCAUAGAUUUCUAUUUACUUAUACUAACGUUAUGGUGCGAAAAUCAAGAAAAAUGCUUAUUUGGGUCCCUUUUUGGCCCCUAAUUCCUAAACUGUUGGGACCUAAACUACCAAAAUCAAUAACAACCUUCCUUUUGUAGUCAUUAACAUAGUGUUUAAAUUUCAUUGAUUUCUAUUUACUUAAACUAAAGUUAUUGUGCGAAAACCAAGAAUAAUGCUUAUUUGGGCCCUUUUUUGGCCCCUAAUUCCUAAACUGUUGAAACCAAAACUCCCAAAAUCAAUCCCAACCGUUCUUUUGUGGUCAUAAACUUUGUGUCAAAAUUUCAUAGAUUUCUAUUAACUUAAACUAAAGUUAUAGUGCGAAAACCAAGAAAAUGCUUAUUUGGGCCCUUUUUGGCCCCUAAUUCCUAAAAUGUAAGGACCAAAACUCCCAAAAUCAAUACCAACCUUCCUUUUGUGGUCAUAAACCUUGUUUUAAAAUUUCAUAGAUUUCCAUUCACUUUUACUAAAGUUAGAGUGCGAAAACUAAAAGUAUUCGGACGACGACGACGCCAACGUGAUAGCAAUAUACGACGAAAAAAUUUUUCAAAUUUUGCGGUCGUAUAAAAA
rnacentral:lncRNA from 1 species